GGCGCAGGCGCUGAGGGGGCUUAGAGAUGGCGGUUCAACCUGGUGGGCUCACCGCGGGGUGCUGCUGAGGCGUUCCACCAGCGCUGUGCUGUGCAGUGCUGCGAGCCGCUGCCAUCAUCAUCCCGCUGAAAGAACCCCCGUCAUAGAAUCACAGAAUGGUUGGGUUGGAAGGGACCUCAAGGAUCACGAGGCUCCAACCCCCUGCCUGCAGGCAGGGCCACAACCUCCACAUUAAUAGCAGCCCAGGCUGGCCAGGGCCCCAUCCAACCUGGCCUUGAACACCUCCACGGAUGGACGGGGCAUCCACAGCCUCUCUGGGCAGCUGUUCCAGCACCUCGCCACUCUCAUAUGAUGCAAGAAUAUUAAAAGAACCACAACAAAACCACAGAGACCCAAGGAGAUGGAGCAGCCCGAGCUCCCCAGCUGUGAGGUCUCAACAGCACUGAGGAGGCAAACUCCAACCAGAGUUGUUCCAGGUGAAAACCUUUCCUCAGACGAGUGGUGCAAAACAUGGCACAGAUUGGAGCUGCUGGCUGUCAGAAAGGUGAGGUGUAAGAGCACAACACUGUGUGAGCCUCAAUGGAGAAGAUUAACUCUGUGCCAGCAAAAACCAAAAGACAGCGGCAAUGUGUGCUUAAAACUCAUCUACAGCUUUUCAGGCCUGAAAAUGGUCUUUCUGUUCAGCCUGAGGUGGAGUUAAAUGGAGUAAAACCAUUUGGAAAAGACCUCGGGUCAGGUCUUACACCACGAGAGACUUGUGCAGAAGUGGCUGCUCCAAGGGGAGCUCUUGAUGGCACAUUGAAGAGCCAGAGUGUGAAACUUACACAGCCAUCACUUGCGUGAGCUCACUGCGCUGUGACAGCGGGUGAGCUGGACCCUCCUUCAUACAACAUCUCCAAAUGUGAGGUGGUUCAUGCGGUGAUUAGAAAUGUCAAACUGGAAGGAAUCUCUCAGGUCAUCAAAAACGUCCCCUUCGUAUCACACUGCAUUUCCAUCUCAUGUGUUUUCCGAUUUUCUUCCUUUCUAGUAUAGCUGGUUUUGCUCAAUCCUUCACCAUUACAGUACAUGCACUUCUGCAUUUACACAUUCAUGCACUUGAACUCACACAACCUCAGUGCCCAGCGUUCAGAAGUCAGAAGGCUCUGAGUCUAAAUUCACUUGGCUGUAGUGAGAUCAGCCCAAAAGAAGCACAAGCAAAAGGUAAAGUUGAGAAUGGCCUCACCAGGACACCGGAAUACCACAUUUGCUAUCCCGUUUUGCUUGACAUCGGAACUGAAGGAUUUAAAAUUCUGAAUGUGGAUUCUUUCAGAUGAGCAGCUGAGUACCAAAGGAGAUCCCUGCAGCCUUUACAUGUAUAUAUGUAGGUAGAUGUACCUCCAGCUGCAUGUCCCAAGCUGCUCUUCCAUCUCACACAUAUCCCCACUUAACACAGCAACUGAGAUAAAGCAGAAGCUGAGAUCAGGAGAGAGGAACAGCCUCCUUUUUGUUCCUUUCUGGUGUGACAAGAUAAUUACCUUGCUUGAGCCAUGGGUGUGCUUCUUCUCUAUAUUUAGACGUUGAUUCUGCAGCAUUUCUUUCACUCACAAGUUUUGGGUUGUUUUUUUUUUUUUCUUCUCUUGCCAUUUGGCAGAGAACAAAACAAACCAGAUGAGGAUUAUUAAACUGAAAGCAGUCCGUUAAAACAGAGAUGAAAUGUCCAAAUGUAACAGGAUGGCCUCGGUACAGUUCCCUCGCAGGGCACUUACCACAGCAGACUCAUUACUCUAAAGAGCUGUAUGGAGAGCUGGAGGAAAACCAAUGUAGGAAGGCAUGGAGAGCUUAGGAAACAGGCACUCAUUGGUGAUAACCAGAUAGGAGCAAUAGCAUUUCUAGGGAUAAACUUUGAUACUUAGAUUUUGGCUUCACUGCUUCCUAACUGUGGGUUGCAUCCAUCCCUUCCGUUCCUGAGUGGGGCUAACAAAGGCUUACAGAUUUAUUUAUUCUUCUAAUAAAAAGAUACAACAACUGAUUGGUUACAUGAAGUAAAGCAGAGAAGACAAAGCUUGAGAAGCAACCUGGUGUAGUGGAAGGUGUCCCUGCCUGUAGCAGGGGGUUGGAACUGGAUGAUGCCCAAGGAGGUUGUGGCUGCUCCAUCCUUGGAGGCAGUCAAGGCCAGGCUGGAUGUGGCUCUGGACAGCCUGGUCUGCUGGUUGGCAACCCUGCACAUAGCAGGGGGUUGAAACCAGAUGAUCAUUGUGGUCCUUUCCAACCCAGGCCAUUCUGUGAUUCUAUGAUCUUAAAGGUCCCUUCCAACCCUGUGGGACUGAGAUGGUACAGUAAUAAUGAUAUAACCGAUAAAGAGUAGAACAAAACAGAUGGAAAAGCGGUGCUGACAACGUGACAUCGCUGCUAACACAGACAAGCCAAUGAAAGGAGUAAUUUAAAUUGCUCAUAAAAAAUGCCUGGACUCUAAAAGUCUCUUCUUUAGGAUAACAGGUCCAUCAAAUGCUUCCUAGAGCACUAAGCCCAGUGCUUUGGUAGGGAUGCACUACGAUACUCUUUGUAGCUUCUGUUCUUUAACCUGCACUUUUUGGCUUCUUUCUUACCUGUCAGGGAUUUGUCCUUUCCUGAUCACCUCCAAGUCCUUCAGCACAUCUGUUCCAGUUUGAAGCAGUCAUUCUUGGACACGGGGGAGCAGAGGCACACACAGUAAGUUCCUCACUGCCUUGGACAAUGCACUGAUUUUCUCUCUGCUGGCAGUACACAAACUGGACUUUCAGAAUUGUUUUUCCUUCCCCGUGGCUAAAUCACACUGACAGCUUAUAAUUACAGGAUAUGAUUAAUUAGUAUGUCAAGGUCCUGCUCAUCCCAUUAGUUCCAGUUCCUGUGCACCCACUCCUGGAGCAGCAGGUUGUGUUGUCGCCCCCAGACGCCUUUGUGUGCUGUUGGGUAUCACUUUGAGUUGCAGAUUACCAAUUUUGUCUGUGUGUGUUGCUGAGAUUUCCCAAAUCUGUGUUAUCAGUUCGUUUUCUUGGGAUGUUCCUGACUUUUGGUGCUGAUGUCACUGAUCAAAACCUUUCAGAUUCACGGCUGGACUGAGAUGCGUCAGUGGGAUCUUCCAUCCAAACUGAUUUCCUGCUUUAGGCCUAUCCGUAUUAAGACCCUUUAAACCAGUUCAUUUUAUAUUCAUCUUCAUAGAAUCAUAGAAUGGCCUGGGUUGAAAAGGACCACAAUGAUCAUCUGGUUUCAACCCCCUGCUAUGUGCAGGGUCGCCAACCAGCAGACCAGGCUGCCCAGAGCCGCAUCCAGCCUGGCCUUGAAAAGCUUCUCAAGCUUUGCUACCAGUUUUCCACAUAGUUUCCUGUACCAUUUGUAUUACUGAAGAUACACCUUACUUCUUCUGAGCAGAAAGCCACUUACACUGGAUUCGUCUGCACAAACCUUAGGCAAGAUUGUGUUGCUUUCUCUCCCAGUAGAUUUUACUUCAAAACUUCCAGAGCCUUGCAUAGAGAAUCAUAGAGUCCUUAGAGUUGGAAGGGACCUCUGAAGGCCAUCCAGUCCAACUCCCCUGCAAUGAACAGGGACACCACAGCUAGGUCAGGUUGCCCAGGGCCUGGUCCAGCCUUGCCUUGAAAGACUCCAGGGAUGGGGCAUCAAGCACAAUAUUAGUUAUCCUGUUCCAGAACCUCUCCAUCCUCACUGUAAACGACUCUCUCCUUACAUCUAACCUUGUAAUAUUUCAGUGAGAAGCAGUCCCAGGCUUCCUACGUGCUCCCAGGCACCUCAGUCCCAUUGACUGCAUUGAGCCGUUAAGUGAUUCCAGUUUUAAGAACCGUGGUUCACUACUGUUCAUGGGGGUCCCUUAAAAAAAACAAAAGGUAAAUCACUGAAAAAUCAACAUUAGCAGCACUAACGGCCAUAAAAUCAUACGCCUUUUAUUUAACAUAAAAUGAGACAUUAAGAUAAAAUACACAGUUGCCCAUGUGCUGAAGAACUACGGUAUUUUACAUUCAUUUAUAAAGCAGGUAGUUUUACAUGACAAAAAGAAGUGAGAGGAAAAGGAACGGAAUCUGCAGUAAGACAGAAGCCACGGGGCAGGCUUUUGCUUGUCCAAGUGCUACCUCCUAUGGGCACAGAUCUUCAAGUGACAGGUUAGAAACUGGCCGUUCUUAGCACUCCUCUGAUCCCUCUUAAUGCUGCUGGGAAGCUAAGGUGGAGGCUUACACAGCAAAAUGAGUGACAACGUGUUGAGGAAACACCCUUGGCCAAGAGGCACAGCUGCAGCACGACGGACCACGUCUGUCCCUGCUGUCUUGCUCCUUUGCAGGAAUGGGCCUACACAGUCUUAAAUGCCUGCAGCUUACAUUACCAAAUCCCUUUGUUUUUUUACUCACUUGCCAGAUUUGUAACUGAAAUUUGACUUGUCAAGCAGACAGCAGUAGGGUGAGGGCUCACGGCUGCACAGAUUUAGGGCACAGGAAGGGAGCUACCAUCCGUCAGCGAGGGUGGCUGCUGGAGGCGUGUACCUUGCACACCUCCAGGCACACAAUAAAGGACUGUACCCAGAACCUCUGUCCCUGCUGCUCGAGACAAUGGGACAACACCUUCCACAUCGCAGCCGCAGGUGGGCUAAGAGGACAGCCCUGCCCUGAUGCCCUGCAGCAUCUGCUAACUGAACGGUACAGGAGACCGGCUGGUAAGGUUUAAAUCAGGGUAGGGAGGAACGGGAGAUGCAGCAGUACCAGGGGAGUAAGGAAUGUUGUUUGUUUGUCAAAGUGCAGCAGAUCGAAACACGUUACUAGUAUAUAUUUUGUCUACCCCAUGUAUCUUAAAUAUGAAAACAAAUAUAAAACAACCUUAAUUCCA